UUGAUACUUCUGGUGGAUGAUGAUGUUCAAUUUAUACAUAUAUAAAUUAUAAACAAACCAAAUUGAAGUACUAGAAACAAUAAGAGUAUCUGUUCCUGUGUAUGCCCAAGUUUCUGUUUUCUAAGAAGCAUAUUAAUUAAAUGAACAAAACUGUGUCCAAGAAAUAAUCUAUUGCAUAGAGGAUUUAAUGAAAACAAAAUUGGUGAUGCUGUAAUCAUAAAGUUCUAUGCAGGAAUCAAUGGUUAUUGCUAAAAUAUGUUAUUAGUGCUGGUAAGUCAUAUAUUUACAUACCUAACUUUUAACGUAACUACUGGUAGAUUGCAGGAAACAUUAUACACUUUGGAACAAUUGAAGUAAAUAAAUGAAUUAAUAUAAUACAAACAUCAAGAAGUAAUGUAUAAUUUUGGAAAAAGCUGUAUUAAUCACUUUCGAAAAUCAUAAUUGUUUUUUUUUUUAGUAAGUCGCAGAACUUAGACAAAUAAUUUAGGUUUGUUAUUAAAUUAAAUGUAAUAAGUACAGAUUUAGACUCUUGAACCAGGCAUGGUAUAUUGAUUAGUAGGGUCCACAGUAAAAAAUAUUUUGUAAUACCAUUCGAAAGAAAAUACAGACCUAUAUUAUACUGUUUAUAAAGUAAGUUUUAUUGUAACAUAACUUAAGAAAACAAUUAAUAUGCAUAU